rnacentral:rRNA from 1 species
AUUGAACGCUGGCGGCAGGCCUAACACAUGCAAGUCGAACGAGUGGCGGACGGGUGAGUAAUGCUUGGGCAUCUGGCUUAUGGAGGGGGAUAACUACGGGAAACUGUAGCUAAUACUGCGUACCACAGGUUGGGCCCUAGUGGGAGUAGGUAGUUGGUGAGGUAAAGGCUCAUCAAGAGGACGAUCUCUAGCUGGUCUGAGAGGAUGACCAGCCACACUGGGACUGAGACACGGCCCAGACUCCUACGGGAGGCAGCAGUGGGGAAUAUUGCGCAAUGGGGGCAACCUGACGCAGCCAUGCCGCGUGAAUGAAGAAGGCCUUCGGGUUGUAAAGUUCUUUCGGUAGCGAGGCGUUAACUACAGAAGAAGCACCGGCUAACUCCGUGCCAGCAGCCGCGGUAAUAC